rnacentral:rRNA from 1 species
AUUGAACGCUGGCGGCAUGCCUUACACAUGCAAGUCGAACGGUAACAGGUCUUCGGAUGCUGACGAGUGGCGAACGGGUGAGUAAUACAUCGGAACGUGCCCGAUCGUGGGGGAUAACGGAGCGAAAGCUUUGCUAAUACCGCAUAAGAUCUACGGAUGAAAGCAGGGGACCGCAAGGCCUUGCGCGAACGGAGCGGCCGAUGGCAGAUGAGGUAGUUGGUGGGAUAAAAGCUUACCAAGCCGACGAUCUGUAGCUGGUCUGAGAGGACGACCAGCAACCCGGGGACUGAGACACGGCCCAGACUCAUACGGGAGGCGGCAGUGGGGAAUUUUGGACAAUGGGCGCAAGCCUGAUCCAGCCAUGCCGCGUGCGGGAUGAAGGCCUUCGGGUUGUAAACUGCUUUUGUACGGAACGAAAAGACUCUUUCUAAUAAAGAGAGUCCAUGACGGUACCGUAAGAAUAAGCACCGGCUAACUACGUGCCAGCAGCCGCCGUAACAC